UGUUGCAUUUUUCAAUAGCGGAGGAAAAGAAACCAACAGGGAUUGCCCUAGUAACGGCGAGUGAACAGGCAAGAGCUCAGAUUUGAAAGGCACUUUUGUGCCGUUGUAUUCUGAAGUUAGGGUCCUGAGAAACGAUGCUUAAGUCUUCUGGAAAGGAGCGCCAUGGAGGGUGAUAGCCCCGUCUAGCAUUGACCUCAUAUAGGAUCUUAACAUGGAGUCGAGUUGUUUGGGAAUGCAGCUCAAAUGGGUGGUAUGCUCCAUCUAAAGCUAAAUAUCUGCGAGAGACCGAUAGUAAACAAGUACUGUGAGGGAAAGAUGAAAAGAACUUUGAAAAGAGAGUGAAAAAGUACGUGAAAUUGUUGAAAUGGAAGGGUAGGCCGCUAACCAUGUAGAGCCGUGUUUGGGGGGAAGAUAAAUGCUGUAGAAUGUAGCUCCUCGGAGUAUUAUAGAUGCAGUUCAUAUUCCCACCCGAGCGCGAGGAUCUCAGUCUACAAAAAUGGAUG
rnacentral:rRNA from 1 species